CACUUCCCAUUCUGCUUGCUCUGGUGGAGGCAUUGCACACUACCAAGUUGCAUGUUGUGAGAGCCUCAGUGCAGCUUGGUGUGUGUGAUACUUUCAUGUGAGUGCAUGCGCACUGGUAUGAC
rnacentral:pre_miRNA from 17 species